GAAAGGAAGUUUAAUAAGAUUUUAAAGACACGACUCAAAGCUAGUGCAGAGCAUGAUACAGGAGGUGGACUUCUGAGGAUCUUCUGGCAGCACAUGGCUCCAAGCAAAAGGAAACUGUGUCUCCUAACCCAGCACCCUGGCCUUAGGUCCAUCUCAUCCACCUUGUCUCCAGGAGCCACCAAAUCUCUGUCCUGCUCUGAUCAGUUCUAGGUGCACAGCUGGAUAUUUGGCUAAACAUCCAUGUGCCAAAAAGCUUCAAGCUACACCCUAUGCGGCCAGAAAUCUUUCCUGCAUCCUUCCUUUCCUCUCCUGUGAAGGGCAACGGCCCAGGCUGCACAGAGGGGCCAGCUUGGAGGCAGUCAGCUCUGCUCCAGGACACAUUCUGAGACGCAGCAAAGAGAGGUGUGCCAAUAGAAUGAAGUUAACAAUCCACCACAAAUGAUUUCCUUCUGAUGUGAAAAAGAAAGAUGAGGUCUUCAACCAGACAAAGGACACUCAUGAAAACCCACAGCCAAAGGCGCUCUCAACAGGGAGGCUGGAUGACUCCUUGGAAGUCAGAACAAGAUAAGGAUGGAUGUCCAUUCUAACCCCUUCUAGCCAGGCUAAUUAAAUGAGAAAAAAGUAACAGGGAUUUUAUAUAGGUAAUAAAAUUCUUUCUGGUGCAAUUGCUAGGUAACAUGGUAACUCUUUACUUAACUCUCUGAGGACAGCAGCUGAACUAAGUGCACCUGGCUAUACACAAGCUUGGAUGUGAAUGUUCACCACAGCAUUAUUUGCAAGGGCCAAGGAAACGUGGUCCAUCGGUACCAUGGAAUGUUAUUCUGCCCUAAGAAAGAAUGCAGAAAGGCCCAUGCUACAACAUGGAUGAACGUUGAAACCACUAUGUGGAGUGGAAGUAACCAGACAUAAAAAACCAUGUAUGAUUCCAUUUAUACAAAAUGUCCAGAAUAGAGUCUCAACAUGGAUUAGUUGUUUCUGGAGCAGGUGGAGGGGCAUGGGACUUACUGCUAAUGGGAUGGAGACUUCUUUUUUGAAGCUCCUCCUCCUGUAUAUUCACACCUGCUAGACGAGCAGCGCUCUUCUCAGUGUUCUUAGUUCCCACUCCAGGCCCGGGGUGACCACAGGUGACACUUAUAAGAUCGAUUACUGAGACUCAAGAGUGAGUCUCCUGAGACCAGCAUUUAACAGAUGAGGAAAGAGGUGCAAGGGAAAGAUAACUUGCCAUGGCCAUAUGACUGUUGAGUUAUGAAGCAGGGCUCACUUUUAAUCACUGGGUUCAGUAAAUAGGACGCUGGUAGUUCUGAGGCACAAGACUGGGAAAACUGAAGCUCUGGGUGAUGCUCUCAGGCAGUAUAUUUAACUAAAAAUACUCGAUGGAAGUGCAAUGCCUUAGGCAAUAAUGUCCCGCUAGCCUUAUACUGUUCUAUCUCUCCUCAGCCUCUGCUGCAGUUGAAUUAGAUGCUAUUUUGACAGCAGGACUUCGUACACUAGGGAGCAUAAACCACAUGCCCAGGUGCCCAGCCCUGUCAGAGGCCCACAUUGCUAGUACUACCACCAAGAAUGCUGAAAGCCCUCACAGGCCAACUCAUGACAAACCUUUGUGGGUGUCUGGGAAAAAAGGAUUUGGAUUCCAGAGCUGGCUUUUUUUCCAAUAAGAACAUUUUUUUGUAACUCAGAGCUGAGAAUUUCAAGCAUCAGUACUUCUGAGGCUUGGAUACCUCCUUACACCACCCUUUAAUCCUGAAAUGUCUGUCCCAGGCACCAAAAGUCACCCGGCUGCAAGUUCCACCAGCCUAUGCCCUGACACACAUUUCCAAGGGAUGAAUAAUACCAGAGAGAACUUCAGCCUCUUCAGACUCUCAUUUUUCCAGAGGAAGAAUUGCUUGCCUCUUGCCCCUCAAUUUUUCCCAUGCAGGAGAAAGGAAAGAAAUGUGUCCACUGAAAGAUUUCCUGUACAGAUGCAGGGCAGAGGUGGACAGGGACUCAGCCACUUGCCUUCCUGGACGGCUGGGCAGAGCCAAGUGAUGGGCUACAGGAAGAUUAGGCCUCUUCACAUCCAAGAAUUGGCAGAUUUGCCAUGUCCCUGAGCACUGUGGCAGAAUACCAUCCACUGCCCCUAAGGGCCACUUGGCACAACCUGGCCCUGCCUGGCUUGGCCCUGCCGCCUGACCCUCCAAGGCUCUGGGUGGAGGGUCCACUGGGGGGCUGUCCACAUGUCGUCUCCACCCCAGCUUGCUCUGCAGCCUAGCUGAUUCAGCCUGUAUUUAUGCGAUACUGUAGUGGUUACCAGAAAGCACAACUGUAAUAGCAAUAACCAAAAAUAACUGUUGGCAGAAAAACCUAUAUUUAGGGUAGUCCUUCUUCAGCAAUUCUCAUGGCUUUGCUAAGCCAUCAGUCUAACUGUCAUCAUCUUUCUUUCAAAGGACAUUGCAGAAGCCCCACACAGGGCCUGGGGGGCCACCAAGGAGGUCUUCAUGGGAAAGGAUACAGGGCCUUCCCCAUCCACAGUUACGAGACUGAUCACUGUACAACAAACCAUCCUCAAGACAAAGAAGGCUGUAGGUCCUUCUCCACAGAGGACAUUGGCAGAUGUGCCUGUGGUUCUUCAUGAAGCCAGUAGGAAAUGCCAGGGGAAGAAUUUCCCCUUUCUUCCAAGUCUUAACAAGAGGACCACUAAUGUCAGCUGCGUGCGGUUAGUCCACCAAACAUUUUCAUCACUCCAAGAAGAAACCCCAAACUUGCUGGUUCCCUCCUCCAUCCUCAGGUCACCACCCCAAGGCUGUGACUUUCCCUGGCUUACGUAUCAGUCCAGAGCCAAUGCAAAUAGAAGCCAACACGAACAUGGAUCUGUCUUUUUUCCUUUUGUUGGGUGAGGGGAGAAGCAA